rnacentral:rRNA from 1 species
GGUUAAGCGACUAAGCGUACACGGUGGAUGCCUAGGCAGUCAGAGGCGAUGAAGGGCGUGCUAAUCUGCGAAAAGCGUCGGUAAGCUGAUAUGAAGCGUUAUAACCGACGAUACCCGAAUGGGGAAACCCAGUGCAAUACGUUGCACUAUCGUUAGAUGAAUACAUAGUCUAACGAGGCGAACCGGGGGAACUGAAACAUCUAAGUACCCCGAGGAAAAGAAAUCAACCGAGAUUCCCCCAGUAGCGGCGAGCGAACGGGGAGGAGCCCAGAGUCUGAAUCAGUUUGUGUGUUAGUGGAAGCGUCUGGAAAGUCGCACGGUACAGGGUGAUAGUCCCGUACACCAAAAUGCACAGGCUGUGAACUCGAUGAGUAGGGCGGGACACGUGACAUCCUGUCUGAAUAUGGGGGGACCAUCCUCCAAGGCUAAAUACUCCUGACUGACCGAUAGUGAACCAGUACCGUGAGGGAAAGGCGAAAAGAACCCCGGCGAGGGGAGUGAAAUAGAACCUGAAACCGUGUACGUACAAGCAGUGGGAGCACCUUCGUGGUGUGACUGCGUACCUUUUGUAUAAUGGGUCAGCGACUUAUAUUUUGUAGCAAGGUUAACCGAAUAGGGGAGCCGUAGGGAAACCGAGUCUUAACUGGGCGUCUAGUUGCAAGGUAUAGACCCGAAACCCGGUGAUCUAGCCAUGGGCAGGUUGAAGGUUGGGUAACACUAACUGGAGGACCGAACCGACUAAUGUUGAAAAAUUAGCGGAUGACUUGUGGCUGGGGGUGAAAGGCCAAUCAAACCGGGAGAUAGCUGGUUCUCCCCGAAAGCUAUUUAGGUAGCGCCUCGUGAACUCAUCUUCGGGGGUAGAGCACUGUUUCGGCUAGGGGGCCAUCCCGGCUUACCAAACCGAUGCAAACUCCGAAUACCGAAGAAUGUUAUCACGGGAGACACACGGCGGGUGCUAACGUCCGUCGUGAAGAGGGAAACAACCCAGACCGCCAGCUAAGGUCCCAAAGUCAUGGUUAAGUGGGAAACGAUGUGGGAAGGCACAGACAGCCAGGAUGUUGGCUUAGAAGCAGCCAUCAUUUAAAGAAAGCGUAAUAGCUCACUGGUCGAGUCGGCCUGCGCGGAAGAUGUAACGGGGCUAAACCAUGCACCGAAGCUGCGGCAGCGACACUUAGGUGUUGUUGGGUAGGGGAGCGUUCUGUAAGCCGUUGAAGGUGACCUGUGAGGGUUGCUGGAGGUAUCAGAAGUGCGAAUGCUGACAUAAGUAACGAUAAUGCGGGUGAAAAACCCGCACGCCGGAAGACCAAGGGUUCCUGUCCAACGUUAAUCGGGGCAGGGUGAGUCGACCCCUAAGGCGAGGCUGAAAAGCGUAGUCGAUGGGAAACAGGUUAAUAUUCCUGUACUUGGUGUUACUGCGAAGGGGGGACGGAGAAGGCUAGGCUGGCCGGGCGACGGUUGUCCCGGUUUAAGCGUGUAGGGGGAGUGACCAGGUAAAUCCGGUUGCUUAUCAACCCUGAGGCGUGAUGACGAUGCACCACGGUGCAGAAGCAGUUGAUGCCAUGCUUCCAGGAAAAGCCUCUAAGCAUCAGGUAACAUUAAAUCGUACCCCAAACCGACACAGGUGGUCAGGUAGAGAAUACUCAGGCGCUUGAGAGAACUCGGGUGAAGGAACUAGGCAAAAUGGUGCCGUAACUUCGGGAGAAGGCACGCUGGCGUUAGGUGAAAGGACUAGCUCCUGGAGCUGAAGCCAGUCGCAGAUACCAGCUGGCUGCAACUGUUUAAUAAAAACACAGCACUGUGCAAACACGAAAGUGGACGUAUACGGUGUGACGCCUGCCCGGUGCUGGAAGGUUAAUUGAUGGGGUCAGCCGCAAGGCGAAGCUCUUGAUCGAAGCCCCAGUAAACGGCGGCCGUAACUAUAACGGUCCUAAGGUAGCGAAAUUCCUUGUCGGGUAAGUUCCGACCUGCACGAAUGGCGUAAUGAUGGCCAGGCUGUCUCCACCCGAGACUCAGUGAAAUUGAACUCGCUGUGAAGAUGCAGUGUACCCGCGGCAAGACGGAAAGACCCCGUGAACCUUUACUAUAGCUUGACACUGAACAUUGAGCCUUGAUGUGUAGGAUAGGUGGGAGGCCUUGAAGUGUGGACGCCAGUCUGCAUGGAGCCAACCUUGAAAUACCACCCUUUAAUGUUUGAUGUUCUAACUCGGCCCCAUGAUCUGGGGUGAGGACAGUGUCUGGUGGGUAGUUUGACUGGGGCGGUCUCCUCCCAAAGAGUAACGGAGGAGCACGAAGGUUAGCUAAUCACGGUCGGACAUCGUGAGGUUAGUGCAAAGGCAUAAGCUAGCUUGACUGCGAGAGUGACGGCUCGAGCAGGUACGAAAGUAGGUCUUAGUGAUCCGGUGGUUCUGAAUGGAAGGGCCAUCGCUCAACGGAUAAAAGGUACUCCGGGGAUAACAGGCUGAUACCGCCCAAGAGUCAUAUCGACGGCGGUGUUUGGCACCUCGAUGUCGGCUCAUCACAUCCUGGGGCUGAAGUAGGUCCCAAGGGUAUGGCUGUUCGCCAUUUAAAGUGGUACGCGAGCUGGGUUUAGAACGUCGUGAGACAGUUCGGUCCCUAUCUGCCGUGGGCGUUGGAAGAUUGAGAGGGGCUGCUCCUAGUACGAGAGGACCGGAGUGGACGAAUCACUGGUGUUCGGGUUGUCAUGCCAAUGGCAUUGCCCGGUAGCUAAAUUCGGAAGAGAUAACCGCUGAAAGCAUCUAAGCGGGAAACUUGCCUCGAGAUGAGUCUUCCCUGGGGCUUAAAGCCCCCUGAAGGAACGUUAAAGACUAUGACGUUGAUAGGCUGGGUGUGUAAGUGCAGCGAUGUAUUGAGCUAACCAGUACUAAUGAUCCGUGAGGCUUAACCUU